rnacentral:rRNA from 1 species
UACGUAGGGGGCUAGCGUUGUCCGGAAUCAUUGGGCGUAAAGCGCGUGUAGGCGGCCCGGUAAGUCCGCUGUGAAAGUCGGGGGCUCAACCCUCGAAUGCCGGUGGAUACUGUCGGGCUGGAGUCCGGAAGAGGCGAGUGGAAUUCCUGGUGUAGCGGUGAAAUGCGCAGAUAUCAGGAGGAACACCAAUGGCGAAGGCAGCUCGCUGGGACGGUACUGACGCUGAGGCAGCGAAAGCGUGGGGAGCAACAGG